UACAGAGGUCUCAAGCGUUGUUCAGAUUCAUUGGGCGUAAAGGGUGCGUAGGCGGUGUCGUAAGUCGGAUGUGAAAUCCCGGGGCUUAACUCCGAAACUGCAUUCGAUACUGCCGUGCUUGAGGACUGGAGAGGAGACUGGAAUUUACGGUGUAGCGGUGAAAUGCGUAGAUAUCGUAAGGAAGACCAGUGGCGAAGGCGGGUCUCUGGACAGUUCCUGACGCUGAGGCGCGAAAGCGUGGGGAGCGAACAGG
rnacentral:rRNA from 1 species